rnacentral:rRNA from 1 species
AUUGAACGCUGGCGGCAGGCCUAACACAUGCAAGUCGAGCGGAUGAAGGGAGCUUGCUCCUGGAUUCAGCGGCGGACGGGUGAGUAAUGCCUAGGAAUCUGCCUGGUAGUGGGGGAUAACGUCCGGAAACGGGCGCUAAUACCGCAUACGUCCUGAGGGAGAAAGUGGGGGAUCUUCGGACCUCACGCUAUCAGAUGAGCCUAGGUCGGAUUAGCUAGUUGGUGGGGUAAAGGCCUACCAAGCCGACGAUCCGUAACUGGUCUGAGAGGAUGAUCAGUCACACUGGAACUGAGACACGGUCCAGACUCCUACGGGAGGCAGCAGUGGGGAAUAUUGGACAAAGGGCGAAAGCCUGAUCCAGCCAUGCCGCGUGUGUGAAGAAGGUCUUCGGAUUGUAAAGCACUUUAAGUUGGGAGGAAGGGCAGUAAGUUAAUACCUUGCUGUUUUGACGUUACCAACAGAAUAAGCACCGGCUAACUUCGUG